rnacentral:rRNA from 1 species
GCGUGGGGGAUGAAGGCCUUAGGGUCGUAAACCCCUUUCAGUAGGGAAGAAAAUGACGGUACCUACAGAAGAAGCCCCGGCCAACUACGUGCCAGCAGCCGCGGUAAGACGUAGGGGGCGAGCGUUGUCCGGAUUUAUUGGGCGUAAAGGGCUCGUAGGUGGUUGCGUAAGUCAGAUGUGAAAACUCCAGGCUCAACUUGGAGACGCCAUCUGAUACUGCGCUGACUUGAGUCCGGUAGAGGAGUGUGGAAUUUCUAGUGUAGCGGUGAAAUGCGCAAAUAUUAGAAGGAACACCUAUUGCGAAGGCAGCACUCUGGGCCGGUACUGACACUGAGGAGCGAAAGCAUGGGUAGCAAACAGGAUUAGAUACCCUGGUAGUCCAUGCCGUAAACGGUGGGCACUAGGUGUGGGGUCUUUCAACGGAUUCUGUGCCGAAGCUAACGCAUUAAGUGCCCCGCCUGGGGAGUACGGCCGCAAGGCUAAAACUC